CUAAGGCAAAUAUAUUAGGAGAGAAUGAACAUAGGACAGGAUUGGAUUGCAAAACCUUUACAGAUAGUCUUAUAGUGAACAUUCAUAUUGAUGCUGGUUUCUAGUGGGAUAGGGAAAUCAGGGAUUCUGAUAAAUGAAGUGAGGUAGCUACCUUUUAUGGACACCCCGCCACCCAGUUAGCUAUAAAGUCCCUCUUGAUGGCUGUUCUCUGCUUUCUUUACCUGUAAAGGGUUAACAAAGUCCCCCAGGUUUUUUAAAAUUAAAAAAAGAAAAGGAGUACUUGUGGCACCUUA